UACGUAGGGAGCAAGCGUUGUCCGGAUUUAUUGGGCGUAAAGAGCUCGUAGGCGGCUUGGCAAGUCGGAUGUGAAACCCCCAGGCUUAACCUGGGGCCGCCAUUCGAUACUGCUAUGGCUUGAGUUCGGUAGGGGAUUAUGGAAUUCCCGGUGUAGCGGUGAAAUGCGCAGAUAUCGGGAGGAACACCAAUGGCGAAGGCAGCAAUCUGGGCCGACACUGACGCUGAGGAGCGAAAGCGUGGGGGGAGCAAACAGGAUUAGAUACCCUGGUAGUCCACGCCCUAAACGUUGGGCACUAGGUGUGGGACCUACUUCGACGGGUUCCGUGCCGUAGCUAACGCAUUAAGUGCCCCGCCUGGGGAGUACGGCCGCAAGGCUAAA
rnacentral:rRNA from 1 species